UGCAUUCUUCUAGAGUCGGGUAAUAAGCUCUAAAACUUGAAAUCUCUGACACACCUAAGGAAGUCAGUCAAAGCCAUGCACCAAGUCAGCAUCAGAAUGAAAAAAUAAAAAAAAUUUGAAAUGAGAUACUGUGAGGUUGGAGGCUGUUCAGAAAUGGGUUGCAAGAAUGAAAGGAAAUCUAUGCUACAGAACUGAAGACAAAAACUGCUGUGCUCCCCUGAGAAAGGUUGUAAGCUGAAUUGCCACACUGUACACAAAGACAAGAGGAAGACUUUUGUGAUAAAGUACAAUAAUCUAGUAUGCCAGAAGCAAAGGAUGGGAAAGGAUAUUUACUGAAUUUUUUCAAUGAAAACAUGAAUAUCAUGAAAUGUAAGUUUUACAAUAUAUGACUAUAUCAGAAAAAAAUAAAGCAGGUUUAUAGUCUGAAAACUGAAUGCUUAGUAACUUUUCAUUAAUUAUGGAUUUCUUACUAAAGGAUUAUCAAACCUAACAGACUUCAACUUCAGCAUUUCCUUUAGGGAGGUAAUGGAAUUACGUUGUGAUGAACUAAGAUUUAUUUUGCUGAAUUCUUUGGGUUGAAUUGUUAUUAGCACUCAGCAAUACAUAGUACAUAGGAAAAAAGGAACGACAACUUUUCUUUCCACCAUUCCAAAGUAUAUAACUGUAUUUAGUUUACUCAAAAAAAAAAAAAAAAAAAAAAA